CGGCCGCGGGGAGCUGGGGGCCUGCCGGGGAGGGAAGAACGGCGGCAGCCCUUUCCCCGUUCCUCCCGUGCUCCGGGACCCCGAGCAGAGCUGCUCGUUUGUCCCCGUGUCCCUGUGUCUGUCCUCAGGCGGCCCCAGGAGCUGGCACUGACCGUGCCGCGGGUCGGGCACAGGCUGCUCCCAGCUCUGCCUGCGGAACUUCGGCAAUUACCGACAGCAGUUCUUUGCCCUGCCAUCCAGAAGGUGCGGCUCAUCUGACACCAGCCAGACGGGGAAGGCCCUGCCUGGGAGGGAAACGGCUACAGGGGAGGAAACCAAGAAAUGCUCCAACCGGAUGGUGCUGCGCGAGUCAAAAGAGGGGCAAGACCACGGGCAAAUACAGUCAGGAAAUGAGCUUUUAUUCAAUCUCUGCAGGAGCCCUUCGCAGCCACGGGCCGGAGGGAGCGCGGCCGGCUGGGCUGUGCCCGGCUGGGGACGGGCACCAAUUCAUCGCUGCCCUGCUCAGGGAGGUUUUCCGGCCCCGUCCGGGCUUCACCCAACGGCUGCAAAGGUGCUCGUGCGGCAUCCGAGCUCAUUUCCAGGGAUAAAGGAGCCAAACGAGUCCGGAGGGAUCCCUCGCUCCGAGGCAAAGGCGUUUGGUCGAGUGUCGCCGCCUGGUCCCGCCUGCGGGGGAGCGUCUCCUCCAGGUGAAUUGUGCACAAGCCAGUCCCCCAUUCCCUAUCCAGGCUGGGAGUGCUCGUGCCCUUGGCACAGAUGGCUCUGGCUGGGCAGGAACUGAGAGCAGGACGUGGGGCAGAGUGGAUCAGCUGCCCAGGGAACAUCCAGGAGAUGAAGCUACGGGAUCCUCAUUCCAAUCAAGGGAACACAUUCUGUCUCUGGCAGAAGCCGGGAGCCAAAGCAGAUCCCGCCUGGCCAGGCUGGGGGGCAGCAGUUGGAUCCACUCUGGGGGAAAGCCCCUGUGCCUGCCAGGAGCUCUGACUCUGUUUGUCCUGCCAGCUCUGACCAGUGUCAGGGCCACUGGGAGGGAUUCAGAAUCCACAGAAAUCCCAAAUCCUACUGAGGGACUCAAUCAAAGGAAGAAAGUAAUUUUUGUCAUAAAAAGAUUAAAAAAACUGUUAAAAAUUCUAGGACAGCAAUCCUGGGAUUCUCAGGAAACUUAGUAGUGCUCUUGGUUCCAUUUCAAUGGAUCUUUAGUCCGUCAAUGAGCAGCUUGGAGAACUUCCCCUGGGAUUUAGAGGCUGAGCAGGGUUUGCUUUGGAUUGCCUGGCACCUCUGGCCCCAGCUGGUGCAAACACAACUUGGGCCAAUGUGGUUAAACACACUUUCCUACAAAAACAGUUGCUGUAUCCCCUAGAAACUACCCCAAGUUUGCAGACAAAACCUUCAUCUCUGUCCCUCCUCAGUUAUCCCAGGUUUUCCA